AUUGAACGCUGGCGGCAGGCCUAACACAUGCAAGUCGAACGGUAACAGGAAACAGCUUGCUGUUUCGCUGACGAGUGGCGGACGGGUGAGUAAUGUCUGGGAAACUGCCUGAUGGAGGGGGAUAACUACUGGAAACGGUAGCUAAUACCGCAUAACGUCGCAAGACCAAAGAGGGGGACCCUCGGGCCUCUUGCCAUCGGAUGUGCCCAGAUGGGAUUAGCUUGUUGGUGGGGUAACGGCUCACCAAGGCGACGAUCCCUAGCUGGUCUGAGAGGAUGACCAGCCACACUGGAACUGAGACACGGUCCAGACUCCUACGGGAGGCAGCAGUGGGAAAUAUUGCACAAAGGGCGCAAGCCUGAUGCAGCCAUGCCGCGUGUAUGAAGAAGGCCUUCGGGUUGUAAAGUACUUUCAGCGGGGAGGAAGGGAGUAAAGUUAAUACCUUUGCUCAUUGACGUUACCCGCAGAAGAAGCACCGGCUAACUCCGUG
rnacentral:rRNA from 1 species